rnacentral:rRNA from 1 species
AGAAUCAACGCUGGCGGCGUGCCUAACACAUGCAAGUCGCACGAGAAAGGGACUUCGGUCCUGAGUACAGUGGCGCACGGGUGAGUAACACGUGAAUCAUCUACCUUCGAGUGGGGAAUAACCUAGAGAAAUCUGGGCUAAUACCGCAUAACACUUACGAGUCAAAGCAGCAAUGCGCUUGAAGAGGAGUUCGCGGCAGAUUAGUUAGUUGGCAGGGUAAUGGCCUACCAAGACGAUGAUCUGUA